GUAGGUGGCAAGCGUUGUCCGGAAUUAUUGGGCGUAAAGCGCGCGCAGGCGGUCCUUUAAGUCUGAUGUGAAAGCCCACGGCUCAACCGUGGAGGGUCAUUGGAAACUGGGGGACUUGAGUACAGAAGAGGAAAGCGGAAUUCCACGUGUAGCGGUGAAAUAGCGUAGAGAUGUGGAGGAACACCAGUGGCGAAGGCGGCUUUCUGGUCUGUAACUGACGCUGAGGCGCGAAAGCGUGGGGAGCAAACAGGGAUUAGAUACCCUGGUAGUCCACGCCGUAAACGAUGAGUGCUAAGUGUUAGGGGGUUUCCCGCCCCUUAGUGCUGCAGCUAACGCAUUAAGCACUCCGCCUGGGGAGUACGCCGCAAGGCUG
rnacentral:rRNA from 1 species